AACGUGUGGGCAAGGCCGAGCCCCCUCACAGGGGCAGAGCCCCCUCACAGGGGCCGCGCGCUCCCUCACGGCUGCCGCGAGGGCACGGCCGGGGGAGCGGGGGCUGCCUGCGGCCACCACCGCCCUCAGGGGCAGCGGGACCGGGGCUCACGGCGGGGCCGACCCCGCCCCGAACGGCGAAGCCGGGGCCGCCCCUCAGGGCCGGGCCCGCCCUCAGGGCCGGCACCGCCCUCACCGUGCAUCCGAUCCCGCCCCUCACGGCGGAGCAGAGCCCGCCCUCGCGGCCGGGGCCGCCCCUCGCGGCCGGCACCGCCCUCACCGUGCAUCCGAUCCCGCCCUCCCGGCGGGUCCGGGACGGCCCCUCCCGGCGGAGCGCAGCCCGUCCCUCCCGGCGGGUCCGGGACGGCCCCUCCCGGCGGAGCGCAGCCCAGCCCGUCCCUCCCGGCCGAGCCGAUCCCGCCCUCAGGGCCCGCCCCGCUGGCGCCACCUGCCGGCGCGGGGGCGCCCGGCACGGCCCCUCCCGACAUGUCGCGACACGAAUCAUCCCGCGGGCGACAAGCAGCGCGUUACCGUCGCUCAUCGGCGGCGUUGGUGCCCCGGGCGGCCCCGGGACAGCAGCCCCGGCCGGUGUGUCCCGCGCUGCCGAGCGCAGGCGGGCCGCGGUUACAUAAGGGGCCGUUGCCGGGCGGUGUCAGCGGUCAGAGCGGGCGGGAAGGAGCCGCCGCAGCCCCGGGAGCUGCGGGCAGCGGGAGAGCGCGAGGGAAACGGGCUCCGGGCCUUCCCCACGGACAAACAAAAGGAUGCAGCAAAGGCGGGGGGAAGGAUUAAAUGCCGCUCGGCGCGACUCCGCACGGCACUCACCAGCUGAUCCUCAGCGAGCAUCGGGCCUAGGCAACAACCUCCCAGUGAUCCCUGGACACGGGCAGGAAUCAGGGUUAAUUCCAAUUAAAUCCAUAGAGCAACCAGGGUAUAAACAACAAGGGGGAACAGAUUGGUCGACAGCAUCAGUUUCCUUUUUUCCUCUAUUCACCAGUGCCCAAGAAAGAGAAGAUGGAAAAGCUGCAGCUCCAGCUGUCAAAAUAAAAGCAGUGACCCCAAAAUCGGGAUGCAGUGACAUGUAAUUUAAUAUAGAUGGAACAAGCCGUGGGGUUUCAUUUGUUUAUGUUUCUGUGCUGUUUAGACAUAAACAUAACUGGAUCCAGAAUAAAUUCAGCUCCAACUUGUGCUUUGUCACUUCUCUCAGCCUCCCUGAGCAUCACACAAACAAAAUCUAUCCCAGAUAAAGCUAAAUUGAGCAUGAAAUGGCCUGUUAUCCCACACCUAUAGGGCUGGAAAACUUGCAUCCUUGUUCUGAUUCCAAUAAAAGCAGCGCCUCUUUCCCUGACAUCAAGCUCCCUUUCCUGGGAUGUGGCUCCACAGCACGGGGACAGCGGAGAGGGAGAGCAGGGAUAAAAAUCAGCACCUUCCGUGGCGAGGGAAGGGCAACACGACAGAAUCCUGAUCCCAAAACAGACCCAGCUCCACAACGUGCAGCCAUCGCCUCUAGCCUGUGCUGGAAAACAGUUUUCCUUGACUCCUGCUGCAGCUCUGAUCCAGCACAACCCGCUGGAGCCUCCAGCAACAGGGAGGGAAGAUAAACAUGAGCUCCAGCAGAAACCUCCAGGCUCUGCCUGCAGGAGUGCAGGUCCUGCAGCUGGGCUGGGCCACAACAGCACAUCUUGGUUCUUCAUUAAGGAUGUCCCCACAUGACUUGAGAAACACCAGCAACUGCCCAGAGAGUAACGGGGGGAAAACGGUUGGGAAUUUUUCCGGAGCUCUUAAAGCAGCUGAGUCCGCUAUUAAUGACCUUGAAUGUAAUUGUCACCCGUGGAAUCAGCCCUGCACUCGAAGGACACAUGCUGAAAAUGCUGUGUGUGUACAGCACACACAUACACAUCACACACACACAUAUUUACAGAUUUAUUUUAACCUGACACGUGCAGGGCUCUGCACGAAGCACCCACCAAACCCACAGAGAGACCCCCAGGGAACACAGAGCACAGGGACAGAGGGAAGCCUUUGUCACUUAAACAUCCUGGCCUGGCUUUAAGCUGGAACACCCAGCUAAUAAAGGAACAAUGUUUUCUGUGGAGAGCCAAAGGUAACACAAAUUCCAGCUGUCUACAUCCCGGGCAGCAUCCUCCAAGCCAAGCCACGCUAAGGUUUGGUAAACACAAGCACAACAGGAUCGAGGCACUUUAGAAAUGGCAGGUCCCAAUUUCAUUACCAUUCCCAAAUCAGACAGGCUCUAGGGUGUUAUAUAGGGCUCAAAACCAGAGAAAACAGGCACUGGGGUUUCUCAGCUAGUCCAGAUGCUCCUAAACUCACCUAGGCUCGGAGAUAUUAGCAGGCAAUUCCAGGGAUAAGGAGGCACAGGGGUGUACUAACAAACAGCAUGGAGCUGCUCCAGGCCCUGAACCCACAGCACAGGCCCUUCAGGACGGGCAAAGAAAGGUCUGUACAGCCCCAAACUUCUUCACUGAUAAAAUACAACACUUGCCUUCUGCCACGGAUACAAUACCAGAUACAAUACCAGACGACCUCAUGAGACAAAAGAGAUCAAACUGUUUCAUUUCAAAGCAUUCUUUAAAACCUAUUGCAUAAUUGGAGGGCGGGGGGUUGGCAUUAUCUUCAAAAAGAAGAAAUGGCUGGAAGAAAAAAAAAAACCAGCUACCAGGAAGAGCAUUUUCUCAGACAGCUUUCAAAGGCCAUAUCCAGGGGUCAGACCUUUUGUAUUUAUUUACAUAAAUACACCAGAUUCUGCUCUGUUUUUUUCUCAGAUAAUAGAAAAUAAACAGUUUUAUUCAGCCCAUCUGAAGAAUGAAUUCAUUUAAAAAAAAUUCAUUGGCUACUUUUAAAUGCAAUCAUGUCAUUCACUAAACAGGCUGAGACUGUAAUCCCUGAAGUUCUGCCAUAACCACACAUCUGGAAUUACUUCCUAAUAGUUACAUUUAUCUUUAAAGUAAACACUGUUUUUUCAAGAGUUACUAUUCUUCCAAGAAACACGCUAAGCUGUAGUUAAGAUUCAUGUUGCUCUUACCAAGGAUUGUCAAGAGGUUUUCAUGGGGUUAUGAUUGAAGGAAAUAUAUUUUGAACAGCAAUCCCCAAAUGGUCCCAUUGCUUAUGUAAACAGACACACAACCCAACCCAUCACAGGGUUUCUUUCUGGCAUUAAAGAUGAACUGUAUGUUUGUCUUGCAUUCCCACUGCAUGUGUGACAGGGCUGAAGAGGGGACACGGACACCUCCAUCUCCAGGUCACAUCCCCUUGUCAUCUCCUGGGGACAAGCAUGAGCACAGCCACUGUGACAGAGACCCUACAGAUCAGAUAUGCACCUCAAACAAACCAAAAUUACACACUCCCUCCUGCCUGGUAUCCCUCUGAAACCAAGGCUGGACGAGCACAGAAAUCAAUUCCAUCACCCUUCUUGCAGGAUUCUUUCCCUCCCAGUCUGUACUUCUCUCCUACUGGUGGCUCAGACCAUCUCAUCAGUGCAACAAAUUCACUUUAGAGCAGUGAUUAUUAUUUAAAAAAGGAAAAUCUAGUUAAAAUAUAACCAAACUUUGCAUUUAUUCUGAGCAACAUUCAGUUCCCUCUCAACAGCAGCACAACAGACAUUUAAUAAUUUUUGAAAUGUCAUUUUAAACUGAUAUUUAAGCUGGGGAAUAAAAGUUCUUCUGAACUCCCAGCCUCCAGCCACAUUUUGUCACCCCAUCAGGGUGAGAUUCUCACCUUAAGCUUCCACAGAGAGGAAACUGGCACAGGUCAACAGGGACACCUUGGGAGAGGCUUGAGAGUGGACGCAAAAUGAAAAUACACAAACACCCCCACAAGGCAAAUCCUCGAGUAUUCACAAAAUACUAGUUAGAAACCCAGAGCCCUGCAGAACCCUUGGACAGAAAAAUUGAACUCCUGAGCAUUAAAGCUUAGAAAGACUGGGAAAUGCACAUCCCAGUUCCAGCCACUUCAUAACCGGCAGCCCAAGGAGGUGGUUUCCAGCCUCUGCCCCUGCUCAGACUUUGUGUGGCUGAACUGCAGCACAGAACUUCCAGGGACAGGAGCUUCCCUGUCCUGACAGGGCAGUGGGGAUAACACACUCACUCACAUCCUGGCUUGUUGUUUCAGCUGCUAAACCAAUCCCAAAAUAAUGAAGGCAGUAACUCAGCAAGGCUGUGACUCCCUUGACCUCCAAUAUUCCCUCUCUCGCAUGCAGGGUCUGGCUCCCAGUCCCAUCUUUCCUUCAGCAAACAGAACCACAUUGUUUCUGCAUUUUCCAGCCCCAGAGUGCUCCAUGGUUUUGUCUCUGCUUCCCAAGCCAAUUGUACUUUGUGGUGCCGACUCCUCUGGCUGUCCAGGCUCCGGGAUGUGGAGGCCGAGAGCCCAAAGCUCCCUGAAAGGUCACAGCCAAGGGGGGACAGGCUGUGCUACCAGGGACUCAAAUGCCACAAUCAGCGUGUAGGGCACUCCAGGAAUGCACAAACAAGACAAGACUGAAGCCUCUUUAUUCCCAAUCCAGGCUGGAAAAGCCUGCAAAGGUCAUUAAAAUCAUGCAGCCCGUCCUUCACGAGUGAGCUCUGCUUCCCACAGCUCAGAUAACCCAUCACUUGAAACCAGUGACCAGGGAGUUAGGAGUGGUUUGCAGGCUCUCAUUUUCCUUCUGAGGUCCCUGGGAUAUCAGACUCCUGCUGGGACGUGGGUACAUAUUAAAUGAGCACUGAAACAACUUCAGGAAGUGUUUGUGCUGCUCCCUGUGAACAGCAACAGCCCCACUGGAGACGCCAGUGCUGCCAGCGGGGGACUGGUGCACACCCAGCACCACGUGCACAGACAAGGAGUCCAACACAGCCAAGGGCACAGAGGAGCUCAGAGAGACUCAAAUAGGUUGUUUAGUAAACGUGAAUCUCUGCUUCAAACCUUUCAGUUCCAGCACAGACCAUCAAAACCUGAUCUGAUUCUCUCCGCAUUUAGAGGGACAGAGUUUCGCCCAGUUUCCCAUCCAUUACCUGGCAAAUCUGGAUUCCAGCUUUUCCUAAAGACUUUACAAUAAUUUAAUUGAUAUAUAGCAUCCUAAUUUGUCCUCUGUAACCUGAGGCAGCUCCACCCAGCUGAGGAUGCAACCCAAGAUAUGCCAACGUCCUUUGGAGAGCCUCCUAAACACAGAGGGGGCAGGGGGAGGCUUCAGAGGGAUUUCAUCCUGGAAUGGAUGACAUGGAUAUUGCCUCAACCAUCCUUUAGAGAAGCCCAUGCUCCUCCACCAACUAUACAAACCAUGAAAAGUCUAAACCAGAAAAAAUCUGAGACAUUUUAGGUAGAAAGUGGCAGGUUUUGGAAAUAAGUUAAUAAAGGGGAGCACAAGGAUGAGGCAGAACUGAACUUACCACACGUAGCACUUCAGGAUGGAGUAAGCAAGCCCCAGAUCCCUCCUGGGACUGCCCUUUCUUUCCCCUCAUCACUUGCAGAAUGUAAAACACAUUGUGCCAAGCUGAGGGGAGGGCUCUGUGCUCAACCCUCAGCUCAUUCCUCCAUCCCUGCCGACAGGGAAGGGCUGCUGGGAUCCAGCAGAGCCUGUGUGACACAGCACACCCGUGAGGGUUGUGGGAAUAAACCCCCCCACGCUGCCAGUGCCAGGCUCAGCUCAAAGAAUACAACAUCUUUGCUUAGUUUUUAGGAAAAACACAGAGUACUCAACCUCUUUCCUGUGUGUUUAUGGCUUUCCUUCAAGGAUCACUGCUGGGCAAGGUGGGUUUUGUACGAGUACAGUUCAACUCCAGUACCUACCCCAGGUAACCCAUGGCUGCUCAGGUGAGACCCACGGAUUAAACACGGCUUCAACUCCCAAACCACCUUUGUAUCCAACGUGGCCAAAGGAAAUGUAACUCAGCACCCAAAACAUCUGCUGGAACAUCAGCUGGGCGUUCUCUAAACCCACCAUCCUGUUUUCUGCUUCUGAGUCAACAAAGGAGUUGCCACAGAUUUCAAUCUGCAGCUCUUGGUCAAUCGCUUUUAAAAAACGCUUUCACCACCUUCAUAGUGUUUCCUGUGUCGGUGAAAGACAGCCUCUGGAACUACUAGGAUAUCUGGGAGUGUCCUGCCAUGCAAAUGGCUUGGCUGGAGAACACCUGGGGCACCAGCUCAGCUCUGCAGUUUCUCUCCCCACCUCCAUUGCUACAUCCCAGUUAUUAGAUCUCCCACCCAUUUUCAGGAAUACCUGCAUUUCUGAGUAGGGUGACCCAUCCAGAAAGUGCCUUUUCCAAAGCCUAGGCCUGGGGAAGGUGUUCCCAUGGAGGUAAAUUCAAGUGUCAGUCAAUGAGUUCUAAAUUUGCCAAAUCUGCCCUUCAAGCUUUGCAGCCUUGUCCUGGUGCUCGGCCAUCCAAAAAGCAAACGGAGCUGGGUCACUUUGAAAAGUGACAAAUGAGCAGCAAACCCAGGGCCUGUGUUCUGGGGGGGCUGGAAUAGCAUCCUGAAUGCUGGGAGGGCUUUACAGGACAACUCCUGUGUGCCCGUGCACCGAUCCAUGGCGUCACCUGCACCCAGCAGCUAGCACGCCAGUCCUUUUUCUGAGGAACACCCCACUGUCAGCAGGCCACUAGUAAACACUCAGAGAGAAAAUGUUGACCCUGGAAUUGCUGAUGUACUUCACUAGUUAUCAACAGGCUUCCAAAGAAACUACAAAAAAAAAAAAAAAUUCCUUCCCCAGUCACAGAGCAUUUAAAGGACAAUAUUUAGUAUCACCGUGUUCUAGAGGCUAUCUGUGGGUUGACCUUCACCAGAAGAAUGUGAAAAUACAGGGCAACUGUCUACAGUGGUAUUUACCUUUUUCCAGAGUGGAAAAAAACAAAAAGUCUAUUUUAGUAUUUUUCAAGUGCUCACACAGUGCAGAGUUCCAGUAAAAACCCGGUACCCUUGGAAAGGAGUUUCCCGUGUUCUGUUCUCUACUCUGACCCAGCUUAGGAGAAGCAGAGCCUUGGGAACCUGCUAUGUGGGUGGGAAGGGCUGGAAGCAGAGCCACCCCUCGGGUCUGUCAGACAGUUGGCUCCCCUUUGGAUGAAGGCACUGCUGUCUGUGCAGAGAGAGCUUCACGUCUCGGCCUCAGCCACAACCCAACCUUGGCAGGCAGUGCCAGACACCCCGAGUGUCCUCGGUGACAUCACUGUUUAUUUGGACAGUGCUCCAGCAAACUGGCAGUGCCAGGUGGGACCUGGCUGAGGGGCAUCACGGAGACAACACCAGCCCACGGGCCCUGACAUCAGCAACCCACAACACAACGUUCCUCAGGGAAAAGGUACCACCCGGGAGUCACCUGGUCGUUCAGCAAAUGCUGCGAUUGCCUCUGUGUGACCACACGAGCUACUGAUAUGGGGUUGUAUCUGUUUUGUUCAUUCAAGUGAAGAGAGACACAGCCAAGUUUCUGGGCAGGGAGAGGCACCAGAGGGCUGUGCCACGGGGCUGCUUCAACCACAAAGCCAGAACUGGAGGGUUCUGCCCCACUUCUCGGGCCUACGCAGAAACGACCCCAAGUUACAUGUACAACGAGAGCACCCCCAGCCCUGCCCUUGCUAUGUGCGAGCACAAGGGCUGCCUGCAGGCACUGCCACGCUUCCCUCAGGAGCACAUUCCCGUCUCCCGAGGAGAUGCGAUCGCUCUGACCUCCUUACCGGGAGGAGGCUGCCAAGCACGCAGGCUGAGCGCUCAGCCAGCUGCCGUCCCCGCUGCCCUUCCAUUCCCCCUCUCCCCUUCCACACCCCACCCUUCCUCAAGGUCCCGGCUCAACCAACAGCCGUCCAACCUGUGGCUGAGUGGGAGUGAGCGGGAGCUCUGCCCAGGCUCCCGUUCCCUUCCCGGCGGGAGGGGCUGCCGCCCACCCGCUCCUGCCGCAGUGCCGAGCUCAGGCACCGCCGGAACGAGAGGCGGCCGUGGGAGGCUCAGCACACUCCCAGUCCUGGCGUGUCCCUGAAGGAGAGGGCACAAAACCAGGGAGGAAUGUCAAGCUACGCUGAUUUACACCUCGACAAACCUCCUCCGCGCCGGAGGUUUUUAUGUAAGGGCAGGGAAAGGCUCCAUCGCUCAGCCAAGGAGGAGAAAUUCGGGACAGGCUGCGUAGAGGAGCCUCCUCCCUCUCGGAGCUGCUGCUCGGGGGAGGCUGCCUGAUCGAUGACAACUUCCAGGGAGGAAGAAUGAGACUGAGCUGUUCUGGCUCUGCCCCCAAACUGCAGAGCAGCGGUGGGAAACCGCACCCAGGGAGACGCCCAGGGAGAAAAGGAUGUUUUGUUGCGGGGGCUUUUGUUCUGGACUCUGUUUAUUAGCGGUAUUUCACAGCCAGGCAGGCAUGGAAGCAAUUUAAAGGGCCAGGCUGGAUGAAAUAACCUGCUCCGCAGUCGGCAGGUUUUGAAUUAGCAAACAAACAAGCAACAAACCCCAGAUGCCGGGGGCGGGAGCGGGGAAGGGUUUGCUGACACGCUCCAAAAGGGAACAGCAGGCACAGAGCUGGAGCAACAGCUGGUUGCUGCAGCACACGGAGCUCCAGCACCAACGCUGAAGGAGCAGCCCCAAGUCCAACAGCCCGGGACUGUCACUAAUGAGACACGGGACAGUCACUCCCCGGCAGUGCCCAGAUACCCACCUGCUCUCACACAGGUUCUGCUCCAGGAACCAGAGAUUCCCAGACCUCCCCCCUGAGCGAGCUCUGCUUUAGCCAGAGAGGCUUCGUCGGCCCCGGAGGUCUGGACAAAGAACUGGCCUAGCAGAGAACCCUGAUUUGGACAGUGUGGUGGUCCCAGAGGAGACCACUCCAGAAUAUGCACUUCCCUGGGAUAUUGGAACCCAAAUCACAGCCAGGAUCACACAAAGCUUUGCCUCUCCACGGGCAAACUUAGCACAGCACUGGAGCGUGUCAAAGGUACCAUAUGGAUUUUAACUGCUCUCUCUUUAAUGAAAAUAAACCCAGAAUAACUUACAACAGGACAACUUUUUGGCGAGAUGAUGUGAAGACAGUGCUUAACUGUUGGUCAGGGAAUACUGGAAUUCCUCUGGAUUAAGAACUGGUUGGAAAGCAAACUGAGAAACAGAGCAGUUUGAUACUAAAUACCCACUUGAAACCAGGGGUGUUAAAAACGGUUCUGCCAAUUCGCACAAACUGCAGCAGCACUGCACAUGCACAUCCCUGACUGUGCUAAACCAAAACCAUGGCCAAAGCUGCUUGGAGAAGAAUCCUUCCCCGGGAAAGGAGGGAAAUGUCAGCAGUCACACAAGUCAAUCACCAAGUCAGACAGUGCAGGGCACGAUUCUACAGGGCCAACAAGAUUUCUGGUUGGAAUAACCAAGCACAGCUUGAGCCGCUGGCUCCCAAAGAGGAGGAAACGUGUCUCAUCCUCCCCAGGGGAAACAAAACACAUCAUCCACUCAUUAGUUUCUUGGCAGAGGAACCCAGAGCACCACAUCCAAACCGGCCUCCUCAUUCUGAACUAAGCCUCUGGUGGGUUAGUGGGCACCGACCAGGGGAAGACAACAGGUAAAACCGAGCAGAUCCCCUGCAUUUGCCCACAUGGAAGUUUUAAAUGGACACCAGCUGUUAAUUCCUUUCUACAUUCUUCACAUUUUUUUUUGGCCAACUCCCCACAAGACUAACAGAAAUCUUUCCCCUUCAACUUUCAUCUGAUGCAUAGAUAAAAUAGUCAGGCAAGGAAGAGAAAUAUAUAUCAUAACUGCCUUCAUUGAAACGCACGCCCGCAGCCCUCAGUGCAUCCCUGCCCUGGAGAUGGGUUAAAGAGCCUUAAUGCCACCUAAAUUAAGUCAAUUUGUUAGUCAGGACAUUGGUGACCAAACAGUUUGAGAUGCAUCCUGGGAGGAAAAAGCACACAGGCCAGAAUUUAAAACCCUGGGAAAUAGGAUGAGAAGAAGGGAAGCAAAAGCCCAGAAAAGCUACGUCUUAAAUAACUCAGGGUUUUUUUGUCUGGGAAAUGGAUCCUGAGCUGGCACAGGCCCAACCCAACAGCUGCAUUGCUUUUCUACUUCCACAAACACUGGAAAAGUCAGCCAAAGCCCUGUUUGUGCUGGCAGACACCCAAGAUUUUAUUAUUAUGUACUAUUAGUUCAUAGUGAGAAAUGUGCACUACGGGGGAAAAAAAAAAACUGGAGAAGCUCAAUAAUUGGGUACAGAUGUUGAAGAUUUAUGGAGCUCUCCCCAGUGGACAGGAUCUUACAGAUUGUUUCUAUCACCUGUUUGCUUUUGGAGUUUUUAAUAAGAUAACUAUGUGUGCUAUCCUGGAAGAACAUUCUAGAAUUCCUCCUUCAGAAAGCAAUAACUUCUGAUCUCCGCUUGUCUCCUCUCAGUAACGAUCUCCCUUCAGAGUUCCAUAAAUGCCACUCGAUAUUCAUUUCAUAUUUAAAUAAGAUCUUGGCAGUUGCUUUCAUUAUCUGGCAACUUUCGAAUGCAAUCAGACUAUUUCUUUCUUACUUCGUGGCCCAAAAACUAAACCUGACACAUCAUGCCAAAUCCCCAGCAGUUAGAAUUCAUGAUUAAACCUCUCAGUAUUCCAAAUACCUAAUGACUUCUGCCUUUUUUUUUUUUUUCUUAUUAUCUGGCAAGUGACAUCUGCUCGACAUUUUUGGGGACUGCUGCUUCUGGUACACAGAGCCCCAACCUCACUGAGGCCCAAGGCUCAGGUUAAGCUGCCUGCAAAAGUAACCCAGUCCCAGCCAGUUUGGUUCAUUAAAUCGAUUCUACAAAAUAUUUGGAAGGUGCAAAGUUCUGGGGCCGACAGCAACCACUAGGAAAGAACAAACACUGGGAAGUCACCGGCAUUUUUCAUAACUGACCUGUGAUGGUUUUGCCAUUUCCAAUCACGUCACGUCACGAGUGAUUUCUUUCCACCAGCACAAAACGGCGAAAGGAGGCACAUUCCACUUGGUUGUUUUUCCAAGCACUUAUAGAAGAGGAUAAACCACCAAAAAAAGGUGGUAUUUCUGCAAACCAACACAGUGAUGCUCCUGCUGUGGCACCCAGGCUCCCUCCCCUCCGUGCCCACGCACACCUCGACUUGGCCAGGAAACCUGGCAGUUCCCUCCACCUUUCCCACAGCUGCUGGUCAGUCCUUCCUGAACAAUGACUUCAUCCUUCCCAGCCCGUGGCUGACACAGCACAGGUCACCUGAAGGUCGGGACCUCGUCACAGAUUCUGACACCCAGUUCCCAGCCGAAAAAGAGUCGAUCUGCUAAAUUUGGUUGGAAUAAGUCUACGGAGACUAAGUUUUUCCUACAGCUCUGAAAUGCACUUUGUCAGUCACAAUUGUGCUUUUAGGGAAGAAACACUUGCACUGCACACUGACUCCAUCCCCGGAGCAGUUACUGAGCUGUUCCCUGCUGUUCCCAAUGGAUGGAGUGAUGGCCUGAAACCCUUUUGGGUGUGGUUCUUCCAGGUGUAUAAAAAGUGGCUCAGAAAGGGUUCUGUAUCUCUCUCGGAAUUGGCACAGGCCACCCAAAACUGCUCUAAAUUCCACCCUGAGGCAGGAAAGCAGAAUCCAACUCAAUUCAUGGGGUUGGGGUUUGCUUUGCUUUUAUCAUCAGGUUUGAAUCUGACCAAGUGCCUCCAAGGACAGCAAAGCUGCAGCACAGCCUCUGUAGCCCAUUGUAUCCAGCUCCACUGUAGUUUCUGGAGUCACAUCCCUGCAUUCAGGGCUCCCUAUGGAAAACCUCCACCUUGUCUCUGAAUUUCAGAAGACUAAGGUCUGGAAUUGUCUUGGGUUAUGGAAAUAGAUGAAGCAAUUCCUACGCAGGGAGGAAGAGACAUCCUUCACCUGCCAUCAUUGCUGGGACCCUGAACACAUCGGUCAAUAUUAUCUCAGUAUUAUCUUAUUUCAUGUACCUGCAAUGAUUCUUCAAUCUAAUAAGAAUUAAAAAGCUAUAAAGGAAGAAUAAGUACAACAGGGUGAUACAGCCAUGAGGGAACGCUUGCAGACAAAUGGCAGAACCUUAUUUAGCUUUUGCUUUUGAAAAGCUCAGAUUCUCACAAAUUUCACAUUUACACCUGCAGGUUUACACUAACAAAAAAACAUCAACAACUCCCCCCCCAAAAAAAAACAUCACAGCCCUGGGGCCAUUUAGAAAGUGCUAAUCCUGAUCAUUUUCCACCUAAUGACUGUUUACUACUCAGCCCUUUUCAAAUGCCUGGCAGCUCUCCAGGUCCUCCUGCUUUUCCCUUCUCCCACACAUCCCUCCACAGCCAUCUUGGAGGAGGACAAACCUCCAGAGGGGAGAGCUCUUCGCUGGCUUUGCAGGCUCUAAAAGCCUCGUUUCCUGGGGGAAAUCCUGAGCGUUGUUUUCACUUUCAAGGCAAAACCAAAACCUUAAGGCUUUCAAAGCGCUGCCAAAUGAGAGCACAGAGAAAAAACAAAGAAACGCUCAACCAGGGAAGUCCUUUCUUUUGAAGGAUUUCAGACCCAACGCUGGUUGGACAGUUUAAAUGCAGUGGGACCAGUUCUCUAAGCCCGACCAGGAACAGAUUUGAGCAGCCCCACCCCAGCACUUGUUUCAAAUGCCAUUCACUGUCACUCGGCGUUUCAGGCUGGAACAAUUAUUUGUGGUCGGAUGCUCUCCCCGCUCCCCGACCAGCUGUGCUUUGAUCUCACCCCCGGAGCUCCCGUGGAUCUGGAGAAAGCCCAGCUCCCCCCAUCACCAGAAGUGCAGUGGAACAGCUCCUCAGGGAAAGUGCAGCUCCCCCAGACCUCACAAGUGGUGCUGGCACUGCAGCCUGGGGUGGACCAGAUGUGUCCUGGAGCCCUGACCACCAUCCUCUCCGUGGCUUCCACCCACACGUCGGAGCUGGCUACCACCAAAAAAGGGAGGAAUGACACGGAAAAGCACAAGGAGAGCUUUAACUGGCAAGGUCAGGCCAGCACUGCGUCCCUUUGUGAUGGGAACAGGGAUGAGGCUGGAUCCCAACACACAGAUCUAAGGGAGGAUGGUGGCUGUUCCAGGAAUAAAGCAAAAGCAUAACCAAUCCAAUGCAAUCAAUAUUUUAAAUGAAAUCAGCCCAGCCCCUAUUCAAAUCAGGUCAGCAGUAAUUAAGGCACCCUUAUUUGGAAUGGUAAAGCCAGGAAGCGCCUGGAUCAGUGUGUUUCUCCAAGAGAAUACAUUAAUGGGAGCGUUUGGAAAUGCGUGAUGCACCCGUAAGAGGCUUUGAUAUAAACCUCGGGAUUACACCAUGCCAGCUUUUCAAUUAUUAUACUCCACAAAAAGCCACGUGCUGGGGACAGCAAGAGGUUAAAGCUGAGCUGGGAGCAGGGCUUUGUCCUUUCUCUUCCUGUUGGUUUCUACUCGGGCACCACUUGGGAUUUACUGUGGCCGGAGAGAAGCACCGCAGGUGGAAUUCUACAUAAAACACCUCUCUUAGUGAUGGCAUCAGGGUCAACAACACACAGGAAGGAGCCUCAUCACUUCAGCAGGGACAGCAAAAGCAACCCCUCUUGUUUCUAGAAGGAUCUGCUUGGUUGGCUCCAUCUUAACACUGUCUCACCACACGGCGACUCAGCCAUUUUAAUUCCUGAAUGCUGGAGUUGGCUCUCCCUGCUCUCCAGGCUGUCUGGAGACCAGGAGUCUCUGUAUAAACCACAUGCAAGUGAAGGCUGGAGACAAAAAACAACUGAGUGAGGCAGAGGGAAGGUGCUGGAUGAGCAGCAGAGCGUGGUAAUGCCACUGAAUAAGUAAAAGCACACCAUUUUCAGAUUGGAUGUGGCUCCUUUUUGCAAAGAAAAGCUCUGCAGUGUGGUUCUCCUGGGAGGGCGAUGAGCAGUGCAGGCUGUGUGUGUGCUGCUCCAGCAACAGCCCCAGAGAGCAAACUCCUGCUCCUUCCCAAGCCGUGGGAGAGGGCAAUGGAUGGAUCUCCAGCAUCCAUUUUGGUGUUUGUCACCCUGCAAGUGCCUGAAGGACAAGCCCUUCUCCAGCUAUUCCACGGGAAUGCUGUGCCCAGGAACUGCUAGGAAGGGGCUGGAGCUGUAAAAACCCCGGGCCAACCAUGACAAAAAUAUAUUCAUGCUGGCCACCACGUUCUUGUUUACCCAAUACAUUAUAAAAACUAGCAGCAAACCCAGGCUGGUUACCUGAGCUACAAACAUCCAGAAAAAAAACUAUUUUGGUGAGCAGAAAUUUUAAUUUACAUCUGCCCAGCACAGGCUGCAGAAGGGCAGACCCAAACAAGCCAUAUUUGACACAGAUAGAUUAGACAGAUGGUACAGCAUAAAGGGGAUUUGUGCUUGCUUGACUUUGGCAUGGCUGAAUUACUUAUUAAUUGCAGAUACACAGCAGUUAUGCUGGAUAUUUGGCAAAGAUUUAAUGCCUAUUAGAACUUCAUACCACUCAAAAUUACCACAGGUCCUGUACACCAGCACGGGGGCUGUUCUGCAGCUCAGUUCUGCUGCACACUUUUCAGAGCCUGUUGUGAUGUAUUUUGAUGUAAAAUGGAUAUAAGCAGCACAAAUACAAGUGCUACCCUGUUCCAGAAGCUUUGGGCAACCUGUGAAUGUUGGGAAAUUAACUGAGAGACCAAUAGAAAUCCUGAUCUAAAAUAAAACCUCUGAAUUGCUGGAGGCUGCUGAAAGCCUCCAGCUUCCCAAGGCAGGCGCCCAGCCCUCUGUGUUCCUCUGCUCCCUUCACCAGUGGCUGCUCUCAGAUUCCCCCUGGUGAAGCACAACAUUAAGAGAUGUUAUUGCAGGGAACACAGAGGGGGUGAAACUCAAAACUGGGGACUGUCCAAGCCUGAGUUCACACCAGAAGCCCACACACAGGGCAGGAACAGCGACACUGAACACUGAUUUAAAACAGGCCAUUCUCCCUGAGGCUGCUUGUACCUCAGGAUCAGCAGUUCUGGCACCACUGUGACCAUCAGAGCCCCAUCCAGCAUCAUAAUUCCAAGGCCUUUGGGCACGGUGACACCUGGGUGGAUUUGUUGCCUUGAGAGCUGCAGCACAGCAAGGCACCUCUCCAGGCUGGCCAAAUCCAGGACAAAGCAGUGCUGGGUGUGGGUUACAGGCAGGAGGGGAAUCUGGAGAGCAGGAAAUCAUGGAGAGCCUCAGACAUUCCAAACAACCCCAGGGCUGCCAGGGCCUGCCUUCCCUCUGAGGGACACCAGGGCUGGCAUUUAGGGAUGGAAACGAUUCCUGACUCUCAGCUCCUCCCAGGCCAAGCAGGGAUCCAGGAGCUCCUCUCCCAGCCAGCCAGCACAAGGGGAGGGGCUGGGCUCCCCUAUCCAGGUGUCAGGCAGGAGCAACCCAACCACACACAGGUUAUCAGACAAAAUAGAACAGGCACCACCAACCGUGCAAGGGGAGAGCUGGGUAAAUAAACCAGCAAGGGGACAGACUGUGGCUCUGGAGAAAUGGAUACUCACAGUUCCAGUUUACAUCUCUAGUGUUAAACCUUCCUCUGCUGAUUUUGGACACUGAGUGCUAGGAGAGCUCCAUGCCCCAUUUGUUCCUGGUGACAGGGGGCAGGAUUGCUGGGCACUGAGUGUCCCUCACAGGCUCUGAACUGGGAGGGGUGCAGAGCACAGGGUCUGUGCAGGACAGGCUGACUGCACAGCUCCUGCAUGUUAAUUAACCACUAAUCAUGUCUACUGGUGGGUUCACAUUCAGCCUCAUCACCAUUCCCUUUAGCAACAGAACUGGCAGAAAACACCAAAACUAAUGUUUUACCCCCAAAGUAACAAUCUCUGCACACCUCAUUUGAGACAACAUAGCACUGAGAGUCCAAUCCAGAGUGUCUUCCUUACCUGCACGAUGCUGGAAGCUUCAUUUUAUCAGCUGUUGGACACCAACAAUCUCCCAUCCAAAUGAACUGGGUCUCCAAUGCUCCAAGCCCGAGGCAAAACUGUCACCUCCCUCCUUCCCUUACUCCAAACAGUCACCUUACAGCAGCUCUGUCUCUAGCACAGGGAUUUUGGGACCCUGCACCCUGCCCAGGCUUUAGGAAGGCUCACAGGACCAGAGGAGGGUUGUCACCCUCUCUGCAAGUCCAGGGAACACCCACAAAGAUUUCAACCAGAAAAAAAUCACACCCAUCAGACCAUUUAAUUCACUGCAAGUUAAACAGGAAAGUGGACACAGCACAAAACAUCCUGGGAGGAGCCCUGAGAGCAGCAGGUGGCCACAGGGCUGUGCAGGAAUUCUCUAGCCCUGGGAAUGCUGCUAGGGCUUUUUUUUGGUCUUUUUUUCCCCCUGUUUAGGGUUUUUCCCCCAGACCACCUGAGCACACGUGAGCCCUGUCUGCUGUGGCAGAUCCCUGCUCACUGCCCCGGGCCACCCUGAUUCCCAGCACAGACAGAAGGCUCUCCCAGCUGUGUCCUGGGAACUCCAGUUCCUACCUCAGCCCUCGCUGCUUCACUCUGAUUGACAAAGGAAGACAGGGACAAAUUUGCCUUCAGUACCCAUGCAAAGGUUGGGAGGAAGGAGGUCCUGAAGCAGCACCACCAGGGGCACGUUGGAAGCUCUGCAGGAGCUGCAGUUGGGCUCGUCUGCUCCUCGGGCAGAUCCUCUUUCAUCCAGACCAGCGCAACUCCCUCUCCUUCCUCCCACUUGAACCUGCCACUGAAUUAAUUGAGGAUGGUUUAUGAGCAUGUUGAGGAUGAGGGAUCAGCAAUCUACCCCUCCUGAGAACAGCCAGCCAUAAGUCUGGACAACUUCUCUUUCCCUUCCAGCCGAAGUCUCGGCAUUCCUCCUCACAUAACUUUGGGUUUUGCUCACCUUUACAAAGCUGGCCUGGCUUCUGUCAGUGAAAAGUGAGCACUGGAGCCAAGGCCCCUUAAGCUAUUUCAGAUACUUUUACUCUCAUAUCCUCCAACAGAAACCCCAAGCCAUGGCUGCAGCCACUUGGGCACAGGUUGGCAGGGUCAGGAGAUGUACUGGCUUGUAGGGACCAUGUGGCCCCACACAGCCCUUCAAACAACAUUUCAGAAUGAAAGUAGCUGAAGAAAACUGAAUGAGACAAAGGAUGUGGGGAUGCCACACAGACAGGGGAAGGUGGUACAGCUGGCAGGAGACACCGGGAUCACUGACACCACCGGGAAGUGCCACCACACUGUCAGGGAAGCGCAUGACCUACACACCUGGACUGUCCAGAGCUGGCACUGCUCACCCAUCUUCUUUAUCCACAAUUUUCCCAAUGCCACGGAGAGGAGGAUAAGAAGGAACAGAGGCAGGCCCUGUGCUCACAGCCUGCGAGCGUGCUCUGCCCAGGAAACAAUGCCAGUGUCCAGAAUUUAAUCCCUCCAGGAUGUCACUGAAUUAAAAUAAUGCACUUAAGUGCUCACCAAGCACUAACGAGGUGCUGCAGCUGCGUCAGACCCUUUAUGCAAAGUGGUUAAUUGGGCUCAGGUAAAGGCAGCAGGGGGGCACUGAGGGCCUGCCCAGCACACCCAGGGGCACAUCUCACCACAUCACUGUCACCUUCCAGACACCAGCCAUUCAAUCCUGCCCUGAUUACUGAGGGGAGGGUAAGGAAUGAAUGAAUCCGUGUCUGCACAGACCUGAGCUGAGGCAGCCACCUUUAGCAGGAAAGCAGGUACAAACCUCACCUGAGGGACCUAAUCCGAGGCGAACAGAUGUGCUCAGUAAUCCUGGCUCUUUACAUCAGCAGCUGAUCCGGGCAGAGAAACACCACUGGCUGAUGGAACAGCACCCAGAGGCCACUGCAGAGCAGGACUGAACCCUGGGGUGGUGUGUGAGCAGCCAUCCCCUCCCCUCUCCAUAGCAGGGCUUCUCCUGCUGCUCCACCCGUGGUUGGAGUCCAUGGCCCUUUGGGUUUAUGUGGUUCAGGGCCAGUCGAGUGCAGAGCUGUGAGCAGAGCAGGACGGUGCCAGGAGAGGUGGGAGAACACAGAUGGGCCCUCUGUUCCUUGGAGCACCUCCUGAAGGUGGGCAGAGCUCCAGAGCCAGUGCUGGGGCACAGAGGGGGAGCUGGAGGGCCGGAGGGCCGCGAUCCCGCCGCGAUCCCAGACAGACGGACGACAGGGAGAUUUACAGUGCCCUUCCCUCCCCACCUCAGCCUGGCAGCACAGCACCCCAGCCACAACAGCAUUCCUCCUGGGAUAAAUCCAGGACAAGCCCCUUAGGCCACAUAUCACAGUGUCAGCACCCAAACUCAUUCUGGUUGUGCCUUGUGGGAUGUGCCCUGCACAGGGAUAUAUCCUGCCCCAGGGUUCUCUCCCAGGAGGACUCUGACCAGGUUUCCAGCUGGAAAGAACUGGCUGAACCCAAGUUAAACUGAUAAAUGUUAGUGCUGGUCUCCUUCCUCCAGAACGGAAAAAAGGAUCUCUUUUCACUUGGAACUUCAAAGGCAGCGAGAACAGUCCUCCCAUGGCUCACCUGGACCAACAGGAUUAUAUGGUCAAAUUAGAUUUUCCUUUGCCCUUAAUUUUGGCUAAACAGUGUUUGCUGAAAGCCUUUCUGGCCUUCAUUUCCAUGAUAAAAGGUGGGCAUUGUUUGGCUCCUUCCUUGCCUCAUAAUAUCAUUAAGAUGACAUUCAGGCCACAUGACAAGUCCAUUUUUUCCCCCAUUAAAUCUACAAUGGUCAUUCCUGUUUGCUUGUCCUCUACUUCACCCCGGAGGAAAUUCUGUUUUCCAAUAACUCUUUUGUUGAUGGCAAACUGAAGGAAGUUAUUUUGCUGAAAUGGUAUUUUAUUAUUAAAUUUUACUUCAGUUAAUGCACAAGAACAUGGGGGGGG